AUUGAACGCUGGCGGCAGGCCUAACACAUGCAAGUCGAACGAGUGGCGGACGGGUGAGUAAUGUCUGGGAAACUGCCUGAUGGAGGGGGAUAACUACUGGAAACGGUAGCUAAUACCGCAUACCAUCGGAUGUGCCCAGAUGGGAUUAGCUAGGAGGUGGGGUAACGGCUCACCAAGGCGACGAUCCCUAGCUGGUCUGAGAGGAUGACCAGCCACACUGGAACGGAGACACGGUCCAGACUCCUACGGGAGUCAGCAGUGGGGAAUAUUGCACAAUGGGCGCAAGCCUUAUGCAGCCAUGCCGCGUGUAUGAAGAAGGCCUUCGGGUUGUAAAGUACUUUCAGCGGGGAGUCGUUACCCGCAGAAGAAGCACCGGCUAACUCCGUGCCAGCAGCCGCGGUAAUAC
rnacentral:rRNA from 1 species